rnacentral:rRNA from 1 species
AGCGAACGCUGGCGGCAGGCUUAACACAUGCAAGUCGAGCGGGCAUCCUUGUGGUGUCAGCGGCAGACGGGUGAGUAACGCGUGGGAACGUGCCCUUCGGUUCGGAAUAACUCAGGGAAACUUGAGCUAAUACCGGAUACGUGCGAGAGCAGAAAGGUUUAUCUGCCGAAGGAUCGGGCCGCGUCUGAUUAGCUAGUUGGUGAGGUUAUGGCUCACCAAGGCGACGAUCAGUAGCUGGUCUGAGAGGAUGAUCAGCCACACUGGGACUGAGACACGGCCCAGACUCCUACGGGAGGCAGCAGUGGGGAAUAUUGGACAAUGGGGGCAACCCUGAUCCAGCCAUGCCGCGUGAGUGAUGACGGCCUUAGGGUUGUAAAGCUCUUUUCUCCGGGACGAUAAUGACGGUACCGGAGGAAUAAGCCCCGGCUAACUUCGUG